rnacentral:rRNA from 1 species
UGAUCCUGCCGGACCCCACUGCUAUCGAGAUGGGACUAAGGUAUGCUAGUCGAACGACCAGAACUAUGUCUGGGAGUGGCACACUGCUCAGUAACACGUAGCUAACCUACCCUUAGGACGUGGAUACCCCCGAGAAAUUGGGGUUAAUCCGCGAUAGAUGUAAUGUCCUGGAAUGGUAUUACGUCUAAAGGUAUUUCAUACAUGUUUGAAAUAUGCCUAAGGAUGGGGCUGCGGCCGAUCAGGCUGUUGGUGAGGUAAUGGCUCACCAAACCUUUGACCGGUACGGGCCAUGAGAGUGGUAGCCCGGAGAUGGACACUGAGACAAGGGUCCAGGCCCUAAGGGGCGCAGCAACCGCGAAACCUCCACAAUGCACUCACGUGCGAUGGGGCUAUCUCGAGUGCCACCUGAUGAAGGUGGCUUUUCCUUGGUCUUCAAAGCCUUGGGAAUAAGAGGGGGGCAAGACUGGUGUCAGCCGCCGCGGUAACACCAGCCCCUCGAGUGGUGGGGAUGAUUAUUUGGCCUAAAGCGUCCGUAGCCGGCCGUGAAAGUCUUCCGUUAAAUCCAGCGUCUCAAGCGUUGGACCGCGGGAGAUACUACAUGGCUAGAGAGUGGGAGAGGUCAGCGGUAUUCUGGGGGUAGGGGCGAAAUCCUUUGAUCCCCGGAGGACCACCAGUGGCGAAGGCUGCUGACUAGAACACGUCUGACGGUCAGGGACGAAAGCUGGGGUAGCGAACCGGAUUAGAUACCCGGGUAGUCCCAGCCGUAAACGAUGCAUGCUAGGUGUUGGGUUGGCCACGAGCCACCCCAGUGCCGCAGGGAAGCCGUUAAGCAUGCCGCCUGGGAAGUACGAUCGCAAGAUUGAAACUUAAAGGAAUUGGC